UAGAGUACACUACUCUCUACCCUUUGUGAACUAUUAUACCCUGUUGCUUCGGCGGCGCCCUCACGGGUGCCCGCCGGAAUAAUCAGAAUCUCUGUUUUCGAACCCGACGAUACUUCUGAGUGUUCUUAGCGAACUGUCA
rnacentral:misc_RNA from 1 species